AACGCAUAGAGAGAGCAUCCACUCUGAUUGCUCCGAUUCGCUUCACAUCCUUGGCCCUCCAAAUUGCUCUGUGCCACUGACAAGAAAUUGCUGCUAAAUGGAAAGGAGGCGUCGACGCUUCGAUUGGUUUUGGUUUGGGAGAUCUCUGGUCUAAGAUUCGAGAUCCUUCAAUUUGUUAGAUUACUUUUGGCUGAAUUUUUUCUCUGUGUCUGGGCUUAUUCUUCAUCCCUCGAAUUUGGGGGAUCUGCAUCUUGAAGCUGCAGGGAGAGAACUGGAAGAGGUCAGAGAGUUGUUUGGCCAAGCAACAUAUCACUGUUUGAACUUGAAGAAACCAUAAGGAAGACGAUUACUGGCUAGCAUUCUUAAUGAAUCGAGGAUACUGUAAUUGUUAUAAAAGAGUGUCUGUACAAUUGCCUUCUCCUUUUGGGAAAUGUAUAAUGCAGAAUUCUUUUGGGAAACCAAUUUGUAUAAUGCCAAGUUCUCUUGGAAUACCAAUUUGUGUUAGUUUGUGUAUAAUGCAGAAUUCUUUGGGAAACCAAUUUGUAUAAUGCAGAGUUAUUUUGGGAUA